rnacentral:rRNA from 1 species
GAUAAACGCUGGCGGCGUGCCUAACACAUGCAAGUCGAACGAUCCCGCAAGGGAGAGUGGCGGAAGGGUGAGUAACACGUGGGAAUCUACCUCCUCGCAGGGAACAACCUCUCGAAAGGGAGGCUAAUACCCAAAAGGGUCAGAAAUGAUCAGAGUCGAAAGGCGUGAGGAGAGGAGCCCGCGGCCCAUCAGCUAGUUGGUGAGGUAAUGGCUUACCAAGGCUACGACGGGUAGGGGAUCUGAGAGGAUGUCCCCCACACUGGAACUGAAACACGGUCCAGACGCCUACGGGUGGCAGCAGUGAGGAAUAUUGGACAAUGGGCGAAAGCCCGAUCCAGCAACGCCGCGUGGAGGAUGAAGGCCUUGGGUCAUAAACUUCUUUAGAGGGAGACGAGAAAGGACGGUAUCCCUAGAAUAAGCGACGGCAAACUACGUGCCAGCAGCCGCGGUAA